GACGAACGCUGGCGGCGUGCUUAACACAUGCAAGUCGAACGGAAAGGCCCUGCUUUUGUGGGGUGCUCGAGUGGCGAACGGGCGAGUAACACGUGAGUAACCUGCCCUUGACUUUGGGAUAACUUCAGGAAACUGGGGCUAAUACCGGAUAGGAGCUCCUGCUGCAUGGUGGGGGUUGGAAAGUUUCGGCGGUUGGGGAUGGACUCGCGGCUUAUCAGCUUGUUGGUGGGGUAGUGGCUUACCAAGGCUUUGACGGGUAGCCGGCCUGAGAGGGUGACCGGCCACAUUGGGACUGAGAUACGGCCCAGACUCCUACGGGAGGCAGCAGUGGGGAAUAUAGCACAAUGGGCGGAAGCCUGAUGCAGCAACGCCGCGUGCGGGAUGACGGCCUUCGGGUUGUAAACCGCUUUCGCCUGUGACGAAGCGUGAGUGACGGUAAUGGGUAAAGAAGCACCGGCUAACUACGUG
rnacentral:rRNA from 1 species